AAUUCAGUGCAAGAUGCCUGUGAGGCCUCCGGGGAAAUUUUGAAAAAUUCAGGUUUUCUUUGUCUCUGGGGUAUUUUGAAGUCCCGAACACUUAGCCUCAAACAAGGGCACUGGUCACAUCUCCUUUCAGCAGUAUUUUUCCUGUUGUUCAACCUAACUCUUGUGAAGUCAACUGGUUUUCAUCACUUGAGACACCUGCUUUUCUCUUAAAAUUUAAGAAAUGGUUUAGGACUAAAGCCCUCUCCCCCCAUUAUGCAGUUCUUCCCCUAAAGAAAAAUCAUUAUUUUCUAUAGGUCCUUGGGCAUUUUGACAUAUGAAAUAAAUAAAGCAAGUUCCUUGGUACAGUUACCAGAACAACCUGAACACUGGCUUUGAGAGAAUUAAGCUUAAAUAACUGAUUUAAAAAUUACUUUCCUUCAGACUAGGGUAACUGUUGGCAGGGACCCCAGGAGGGUCUGUGGUCUGUUUUAAUUUAUCCAAAGCCCAUCUCUCCUCUAACUCCCUGCUGUGAAAACCCAUCAUAUUUGCUAUCCUGGCAGAGAUGGAGAAUCUGAGCUCAGGAUUCCACUCUGUCUGGAGGGAGGACCCCAGAGUUCAGCAGCACCAUCAGAGGUUUUCAUUCCUCAGCCUUCCAAUCAGAUGUUCCAGCCCGUGCCUCAGCACCCAGAUUUUGCCCGUUGAUCAUUCCGAUCGCGUGCCUUGGCUCGCCGCGCCUCACACGCUCCGUUCCUUGGAUACAGACAGCAUCCAACACAUUCCUCAGCAGCUCCAGCUCCAGCAGGGCUUCACUCAGGGUGGAGGACACAGGGGAGCCUCUGCAGGGCACCACUGCCCGGAGCCAGAGGAUUCCUCUGGUGGGACUGGCAGGGAGCUGAUGAUCAGCCAGGCAGCUCUUCGUGUCCUCCAGAUGGACAGCGGUGCCCAGGCGCUGAGAUGUGUCACCAGAAAGAUGACAGGGUGAAAAAUGGCACCAGUGGGAGCGAUGCUCCCCACAGGAUGGUGUAUCCCAGCUUCCAGCCCUCCAGUGAGAGACCCCUCCAUCCCAGAGGUUCUCCCUGGACUGGAUUUCGCUGCCAGCCACUCUGAUGUUUCCCUCUCUGUCUCUCCCUUCUCUCCACACAACCUCCUUACACCCCCCUGUGUAUCAAAUAACAAUUGCAGCCACACCAGGGCAUCAGGUAUGUCUGUGCACCUCUGAAUUCCCUCCGUAGGCAAAGUCCCCACCCACUUUUGCCUGUUUUGUAUAUUUUUAUGUAAAAAUAUGCUGAGUGGGUGUAUGCCUUAUUACAUGUGUAGGAAACAUGGGGAAUGAGGACUUGAGGUACCGCCACAAUAAAAGAGAGGGACAAGGCUCUUCGGCUGGCUUUGCCCUUGAUUCCCUGUUUAAAUAUAAUUUGCCAUUGUUAGACAAGAGACCCUCUCCAAAUUACUUCUGAGAUCCAGGAGACCAUUUCUGCAGCAACAAGUUACUGCUUGUAGGCAGCCUGUGGCUGGAAAAAUGCCCUUGAUAUUACAGAAAUGGUAACUUGUUUAAUAGAUCCAAAUAAAUAGGAAACCCAGGAGCUCGGGUGGCAGCGUCUGAGUCCUGUACUGAGAGGUGCACAGACCUUACGGCAAGGCUAAAUAUAGGUCCCACAAACCAGAACAACAGAGCUUUUACUGAGAAGAUAAUCAAGCCCUGGAGGAAACUACAUGAUAUAAAGCUUAGAUUUAAAAUAAAUGUGAAAUGAGUUGGUGGAUUCGGGACUGGUUCCUUAUGGAAAAGUUUUCAUAUCGGAAAAAAAAUCGUUUGGUGAAAUGGGCUCUUUAAUUAGCAGUUUCAGCACAAUGCUGGAGGAUUGGAGGGGUUCUGGAGCCCCAUCCCUCACCUCUCCAUCUUGCCCUUUGCAAGGAGAGCUGGGAUCAGGGGAGGGGUGGGUUUUCCAGGCUGCUGUGUGUAAGGGGCUGAGGAGGAGCCCAGUUUGCUCUCCUUGUGCUCCCCUGUUACCAUGCACUUUCCCAAGAACAUCCUGCAUCUCCAAAAGCAACACCCAGAGCAGCAGGUGCUGAAUCCAGGCAGGAAAUCCACAGACUGGGCCUGGACACAAGACUGAUGUCCAUGGCUCCCUGCACACCAGGCUCUCAUCCUGCACCCAUCAGUGGCCAGGCUGCAGCCACUGGGACUGCCCAAACCAGCCAGAUCUUCAAUGCAACAUCCCAGCUGUGAUGCCCAGAGAGCGAGGCUGGAUCCCAUCCAGCAGGGCACACCAUGGCACUGCCAUGUCCUCACCCAGCUCUCCUUCAGCCAGCUAAAUGGAUGCAAAUUAAAAAAUAAGACCAAGUUGUUCUUCCUUUUCCCCCCUCAUUCUUCCCUCAUUUCAUCUCACACUGUAAUCUUGUGGUUUGCAAUUAAAUUGUGUCUUUA